CAGAGAAGCCCACCUCACCUGCUUUCCUCUCCUUCCACCAGCUUCCUGUAAGUGAGGAUCUCCAAAUCCAGGGCCAGCUUGAUGUUCAUCAGCUCCUGAUACUCUUUCACCAGACAUCCUCAGCAUUUAGUUUUCAAUGUCUGAAAAGCUUCUCAAAGGAGGAAGCUUUGGAAUGUGUAAAAUCAAGAAAACAAACAAACCAAGAAAACAGACUGCAUCAUGGCCUAUCUUAAAUGUAAGCACAAUUUAUGGAGGAACAGAGGUUGUGAUAAAGCAUUUCAUUGAAAACAUUGCCUGCAGAGCAAAAGGUAACAAAAACCAGAUGGGACAGGGUGGAGUGCUAAUAUCCAGCAAAGGAACCAACCCUGAAGGUGUUUAGAAACAGGUUUGAUAAGGACUAGGACAGCAAAGACUUGGUCCAAGGGCAAGCAUGUUUCCUGAAGGUUGGCAACAGAGCCAGGAGGACAGUUUAGGGAAUACACCAGCCCAUUGGGACACAGAGUCUCUUUUGGGCUAGAUCUGUGACCAGCAGGUUGGUUGACUGGCUGUGCAGAUACCAGGAAUUUUGUGUGAUGGGUGCAGGGUGCACUAUAGGAAUGCUGGUUCUGCUGAGAAUGGAGGAGGUGGUUCUCUUAGAGAAGCCCUACCUUCCCUGCUCUUCUGUGACAUCUCCAGCUCCUCUUACUCAGAUGUGCUCAGAGCGUUUCCAGGCUGGGAAUUAAAUCUUUGAGUGCUACUUACAGAUGUCAUCAAAUUGGUAUGGGGAAGGCUGAGACAUUUAGGAAUCAGGUGAAAUGGCAUCUCCUAACAGAGAGAUGAUAAUGAAAUCAGGAAUGGCAGCCAUUCCAUAGGCAGACAGAGAUGGGACGAGGUGGGAAUAGCUUUAAACUAAAAGAGGGGAGGAUGAGACAGGAUAUAAGGGGCAAAUUCUUUACUCAAAAGAGGCUAAGGCCCUGGCAGUGCUGCCCUGAGAAGUGGGGGUGCCCCUGAAGGGGCUCAGUGCCAUGGAUGGAGGGGUGGGAGCAGCCCAGGGCAGGGAGUGUGGCUGGGGGAGGCUUAGAGUCCCUUCCAACCCAAACCACUCUAUGAUUCUAUGCUUGAUUCUGUUCUUUGGCAGUCAGGUGUGCAUCACUCCAAUUAGAAGUGAGCCUUCUGUGCUGCUUUCUUACCAGAAAGAGGGGCUGAGCGUAGGGGCAGAGAGAGGAACAAGCACUGGGAAUGCAGCCAGGAGAUUUGCAGGGCAGAAGGGAUACAUCCUGUUCAGGAGCCGAUCUGGAAUGUCACAAACAUCUCCCUUGAACUGUUGCUUUCUCCACAGAGGGGACAGUGAGGUCACAGAAGGAUCUGACUGUCACAGGUCCUACAGUUGGGCACUUCUGAGGUUCCCCUUAGGUACCCCAUGGUGUUAAACUCACCCUCUCUUUGCCUGUUCUUAUAAGGCUAGGCAGCUAGCAAGAUUUACCUGUCUGGUUUUUCUGCUCUAUAGCUGGAAUGUUAGCUGUGUUGCCAGUAACUAUGUACCGAGCUUAAUUACAGCCUGCCACUCUUCCUUCAUCCUCAUUGCAUCUCAGCCCAAUCCCAGUCUGUCCCAGCCUGCCAAAGCAGCUUCAGCGCAUUGCCAGGCGCUGACAUAAUCUCCCAUGUGGAGCAAACAACGCUCCUGACUGAAAGGGGAGCAGGCCAAGCCAGCCCGACGCGCUCACCGCACGGCUCCAGAAGGACCUGGCAGCCAGGAGGUGACUCACAUGGAGAUGGAGCCUUCUACAAACACAUCACAGCAUUUAUCUCCUUCAAGCUUAACCAGCAUCUUGCAAACAUUCCCCCCUCAUACAUGGAGCCACGUUGGACACCUACUUGCUUCGGAAGUUAUCCAUGGUGCUCAGGACCUCUGUCAACUCCGACUCGAG